UGAAAGAGAUAAAGCACUAGGAAUAAAGGUUUAUCUUUAUUUUAUAUGAUCACUGAUAGAGGCAUUGGAUGCAUUAUUAACAUAAACACUAGUUGAGAAAUAAAGGUGUAAGAGGAGGGAGAGAGCAAUAUUGACGAGAUGUUAAGGGGUUUGGGAAGAAAGAAUUACUCGGUUAAAAGCUUUAUUAGAAGAAAAAUUCUUGCUGACACCUCCCAUACCCAUGAUUUCUCGCCAUUUCAUUUCUCUCUGAACUUCCUUCUCCUGCAUGCUGCAUGCGCCUUCUUUCUCUAUCUGCUCAAGACUAAGUCUAGGAUCACCUUCAAAGUUGCAAGCACCCAACAAAGAGCAACCAAAUGAUGGACCGGUUCAAACUUUUGAAUUGUGUAUAAGAGCAAGAAGGGACAGGAGAAAAUGAAAAUUGGUAUAUGCAUCAGCAAAGAAUGGCAGAUCAAAAUGCGAGGAAUGUUGAACGAAAAGUCGACCCCAGCCCCCCUCCCGCUCCAAUGGUAGCGGUGGGGCACAAGUUUCCUGUUAUCAUCAGGGCUCCAGCACCUUCCCCCAGCUAGUCCAGAUAGUUGCAAUAUUGUAUCAAGAUUUAUGUUGUUCAAAGACUAAUUUUUUGUUUCACUUGUGAUGAGAGAAUGGGUCAUUAUAAUCUGGACAAAGUUUAAUUACAAAAUUAGUUGUAGUUUAAGUCUACAACCUUACUUAAUAUCUUUUUAUUAAAGGUGAAUUUUGACAAAUCCAUCAUUGGAUUA